rnacentral:rRNA from 1 species
UACGGAGGAGGCAAGCGUUAUCCGGAAUUAUUGGGCGUAAAGCGCGCGCAGGCGGUUUCUUAAGUCUGAUGUGAAAGCCCCCGGCUCAACCGGGGAGGGUCAUUGGAAACUGGGAAACUUGAGUGCAGAAGAGGAAAGUGGAAUUCCAAGUGUAGCGGUGAAAUGCAUAGAGAUUUGGAGGAACACCAGUGGCGAAGGCGACUUUCUGGUCUGUAACUGACGCUGAGGCGCGAAAGCGUGGGGAGCAAACAGG